rnacentral:lncRNA from 1 species
UUAUUUUUGGGAGAGCACGUAUACGAACGUGUAUGAUAUGCACGUUCGUCAAAAGGAAGACACGAGGGGUUUUUCGUUAGAUGGAUUUGUUUGGCCGUUUAAGAUGUGGAUUCUGGAGCUAUUUCCGGAAUUUAAACAAAAGAGGGGGUAUUUUGAAGGUCCGACCAUCCCGAGAUUUUUAGGAUGGAAAGAAGGACAUAGGCUAUUGAAGGUGAAUGUUGAUGGCAUCUUAGCCAAUGCGGUAAAGAUAUCUGAAUAUAAUCCCCUAAUGGCUAUACUACCAACUAUGUUCGAGGCCGAGACUGAGUGGUAUAGUUCAAGCUCGGAUUAUUUGGACCUUGAACGUCAAGUUUUUAAUCCUGCUAUGGCGACUGAAAUACCCCCUCAGAUUCAUAAUCCAAUCGGCCUGAGUCAAAACUACGGCCAACCACAUAAGGACUUCAUUGCCAGCUUGUUCGGCGAUGAUGAAGUUCAGGUGCCUCUAACGCACGGAUUUUCACCGGAAAUCCCGGUUCAUACAAACCAUGUUCCGUUAAAGACGGCUGAGUUUGAACGUGAUGCUGGUCCCGGUCAGUUUUCAUCGGGAUUUUAUUCUGAAGAGCAGCUUGUCUCUAAAUUUCAGUCAAUGAUGUUAUCAAACAACCGGGCAUUGACUGACAUGAUCAACUCGGAGUGGUCGCAGAAGAUG